rnacentral:rRNA from 1 species
CAGCAGCCACGGUAAUACGUAGGGGGCAAGCGUUAUCCGGAAUUACUGGGUGUAAAGGGAGCGUAGACGGUUAAACAAGUCUGAAGUGAAAUGCCGGGGCUCAACCCCGGAGCUGCUCUGGGAACUGUAGAACUGGAGUGUCGGAGGGGUAAGCGGAAUUCCCAGUGUAGCGGUGAAAUGCGUAGAUAUUGGGAGGAACACCGGCGGCGAAGGCGGCUUACUGGACGACAACUGACGUUGAGGCUCGAAGGCGUGGGUAGCAAACUGGAUUAGAUACCCCCGUAGUCCCUGUCUCUUAUAC